GUGACUGCGUACCUUGUGUAUAAUGGGUCAGCGACUUAUAUUCUGUAGCAAGGUUAACCGUAUAGGGGAGCCGUAGGGAAACCGAGUCUUAACCGGGCGUUAAGUUGCAGGGUAUAGACCCGAAACCCGGUGAUCUAGCCAUGGGCAGGUUGAAGGUUGGGUAACACUAACUGGAGGACCGAACCGACUAAUGUUGAAAAAUUAGCGGAUGACCUGUGGCUGGGGGUGAAAGGCCAAUCAAACCGGGAGAUAGCUGGUUCUCCCCGAAAGCUAUUUAGGUAGCGCCUCGUGAAUUCAUCUCCGGGGGUAGAGCACUGUUUCGGCUAGGGGGCCAUCCCGGCUUACCAACCCGAUGCAAACUGCGAAUACCGGAGAAUGUUAUCACGGGAGACACACGGCGGGUGCUAACGUCCGUCGUGAAGAGGGAAACAACCCAGACCGCCAGCUAAGGUCCCAAAGUCAUGGUUAAGUGGGAAACGAUGUGGGAAGGCCCAGACAGCCAGGAUGUUGGCUUAGAAGCAGCCAUCAUUUAAAGAAAGCGUAAUAGCUCACUGGUCGAGUCGGCCUGCGCGGAAGAUGUAACGGGGCUAAACCAUGCACCGAAGCUGCGGCAGCGA
rnacentral:rRNA from 1 species